AUUGAACGCUGGCGGCAUGCCUAACACAUGCAAGUCGAACGGAGCGGCGAACGGGUGAGUAAUGCCUAGGAAUCUGCCUGGUAGUGGGGGAUAACUUCCCGAAAGGUGCGCUACUACCGCAUACUAUCAGAUCAGCCUAGGUCGGAUGAGCUAGUUGGUGGGGUAACGGCCUACCAAGGCGACGAUCCGUAACUUGUUCGAGAGGAUGAGCAGUCACACUGGAACUGAGACACGGCCCAGAGUCCUACGGGAGGCAGCAGUGGGGAAUAUUGGAAAAUGGGCGAAAGCCUGAUCCAGCCAUGCCGCGUGUGUGAAGAAGGUCUUCGGAUUGUAAAGCACGUUAAGUUGGGAAGCGUUACCUACAGAAUAAGCACCGGCUAACUACGUGCCAGCCGCCGCGGUAAUUC
rnacentral:rRNA from 1 species